rnacentral:rRNA from 1 species
GGUCAGGACGAACGCUGGCGGCGUGCCUAACACAUGCAAGUCGAACGGAGUUGAGGAGCUUGCUCCUUGACUUAGUGGCGGACGGGUGAGUAACGCGUGAGUAACCUGCCUCUGAGAGGGGAAUAACGUUCUGAAAAGAACGCUAAUACCGCAUAACACAUAUUUGCCGCAUGACAGAUAUGUCAAAGAUUUUAUCGCUCGGAGAUGGACUCGCGUCCGAUUAGUUAGUUGGUGAGGUAACGGCUCACCAAGACCGCGAUCGGUAGCCGGACUGAGAGGUUGAUCGGCCACAUUGGGACUGAGACACGGCCCAGACUCCUACGGGAGGCAGCAGUGGGGGAUAUUGCGCAAUGGGGGGCCAACCCUGACGCAGCAACGCCGCGUGAAGGAUGAAGGUUUUCGGAUUGUAAACUUCUUUUCUCAGGGACGAAAUUUGACGGUACCUGAGGAAUAAGCUCCGGCUAACUACGUGCCAGCCGCCGC